CAACUCCCACACCCAAGCUACCAGCGAAGCCUGAGACUCUUCAUAUCUAGGCUCUAUUGACCUUCUACCACAUGCAAUCUCCAAUGCAACAACUCCAAAGCUAUAGACAUCAGAUUCUUUACUAGCCUUUCCUGAUGAAACACAUUCAGGUGCAAUAUAGCCCAUGGUCCCGGCUAAAAGGGUUGUUUGUGACCCUUUCACAUGAUCGACUAGUCGAGCCAGCCCGAAAUCCCCUAUUUUAGCAUUGAAACUAGAAUCCAACAUAACGUUGCUGGCUUUGAUAUCCCUGUGUAGCACGCAAUGGUCACCUUCUUCAUGUAGAUAGAAAAGAGCUGAUGCCAAGCCCUGCACAAUUUGAAACCUCACAUCCCAGGUCAAUAAGGUUUUACCUUUGAAAAGAUGGGAAUCUAGGCUGCCAUUAACCAUGAACUCAUAAACGAGUAUAAGUUGCCCCUUUUCGUGACACCAGCCAAUAAGCUUGACCAGAUUCUUGUGCCUCAAUCGGCUAAUGAUAUUCACUUCAGAUGCAUAUUCCUUGAUUCCUUGCUUAGAGGCCUUUGAAAUCCGCUUAACAGCCACAUGAGUAUCCAAGUCCCUUAAGUAUCCUCUAUAAACUGCACCAAACCCUCCUUCUCCAAGCUUUUCACCCUUGAAAUUACUGGUCAUUUUAGCUAUUUCCACAAAGGAAAACUUCCUUGGUCCCAUCCCAUUUUGGAAUUCACCACCGAAGAGCUCAUCAAACAUAUCGUAAUCUAAUUUGUUCGCGUUGGGUGUUUUCCUCCUUAAAAUGAACCAAAUGAAACCUAAGCCAAAAAUCAAAGCACCAGCUCCAACAAUCAACCCGACCACAAGACUGAGGCUUAGUCGAGCCGCUGGAGGGGGAGUAGCAACGAAGGUAUUCGAGCCAUCAUCACCGACAGGAGGCCGAGGAGCACGAGAAACCACCGUUUUCGAGGGAGGAGGAGGAGAAGGAGGAGGAGGAAGAGCAGGAGGAGGAGGAGGAGGAGGAAGAGCAGGAGGAGGAGGAGGAGGAGGAAGAGCAGGAGGAGGAGAGGCAUUCGAAGCAACAGUAACUGAAGCGUUAGCUGAUUUAUAUGCGAUUGGUGCAGAUUGCACAUACAUAAGAGGGAACAAAGCUAAGCCUAUGAAACAAAAGGUCAGUGAAAACCUGGUCGACUCCAUUCUAUGUACUAAAUAUAUGAAAAUGGAUUAUAAAAGAAACCAGAAUGAAGUUUGUUUAUGAAUCAAUUAACAGAUCACCACUCUUCAGAACCUAAGUUAAAUAUCGAAUAAAUAUAAUUUUUGAUAUAAAAUAUGUUCUUAAAUCGCGAAGACUUAGACUUACUGUAGUCGUCGAGGCUGACAAAGUCCUAACGUUCUCUGGGGGUUAUUGACGGAAGCAGUGAUGUAUGGAAAGUGAAACAGUCCAAAACUUUUUCUUCGCUAAAGAAUAAAUUAUAAGUUCAUAAUGGGGUGCUUGGAAGCCAAAAAAAUUUUGUAUGGUGAGGAAAUUAAAUUGUAAUUUUUAAUAUAUUAAAAUUAUAAUUUUAUUAUUUUAAUAAUUUAUAUCUUUAUGAUUUUUAAAAGAUUAAAUUAAAUUUUUAUAUUUUUUAAAAAAUUAAAGUAUAAUUUUAUUUUUAUUAAUUUAAAUUUUUUAAAAUUUUAGAAAGUCUGAACAGGAAAUUUUCCUUUUUUGAGAAGUGAGCAGCCCCAGAAAAGUAUAACUUGGGAAUUUUUCGUCUAAUAUAUUUCAAUUUAAUUAGUUAAGAAUUUGGUAAAACUUGUGAGUAUUUUCGUCUAAUAUAUAUGGAGCUUCACGGUUAUUUGAUAUGCCUCCCGCAAAGUAUAACUUAAUAGAAUAGUUAUAUUUUAUUUUUACAACUAGAGAUUAAAAGUAAAACAUUGAAAUAAAAUAUUAAAAAUUGUACUCAUCCAUAGGUAUAAGUCAAUAUUGGUCAAUACGUACAAGUUGGUAGUGAUUAGUAUGUACCGACCGGUACCUCUGAUGCUAGUUGUUAGCUCCAAAUUUGAUAUUGCAGAAAAUUAAUGAAUACUCGAUAUGUUUAUGAAAUUUGAUUUCUCUAUAUUUGCAAUGCCUUAUCUAGAGAGAUAAUCUAUUAUCUUAGCAACACGUACAACAAGUUAUUACAACCUCUAACACUCACCAGAUCAGACUCCUCACUUUUGUACCUAAGAUCUAGACAAUUAUUCUCUAAGUUUUCCUCAUGAAAACUUAGGAUACUAACCAAGCCACACACUUGAUCAUUCACUCAAUGCAUUCAAAAGAGACAUUCCUCAAUGAACAAUAAGAAGUGUUCUCAGUUCAGUACAAAAUAUAUACGAGGCUCUACAAUAUAUAAGGAAUUAGGACUUGCUAACAUACUAAAUCAAUUACAAUCAACAUUCCCUUGAAACUAGCAUGAUAGUAACCAAAAAGAAUAUCUUCAAUCAACUCAAGAUAAGUCUUGAAUCUUUAAAUAUACUUCCAAGUUUCACCCCAUUCAGUCCGAUCCACCAAACCUGUGAAGCUGAUUGCUUUGGUCCAAAUCCAAAACAAUCUUCAAGAUAUGUUGCUAUAUGAAGUUUGGAUAUCAAAGAUAGGUUCGUUAUUGUCCAAAGUAUUAACUAGAAUCACAAUCCAAGGAAUUUUGUUACCAAAAUUUGUCAACUUAAACAUUGUAAGUUUUCUGAGCAGGCAAUGCCACAACUAGUUAUCCUUAAUUCAGGUGUUACUCAAAAAUUGCUUCAAUAAUCUCUCCACAGUUAUCCUUAAUUCAGGUGUUACUCAAAAAUUGCUUCAAUAAUCUCUCCCUUUGACAAAUUUUUGAACAAAACCAUAAUAAGAGAACAUACUUAACAACAAAAACAAAUGCUCCGCUUAAUUAACUCCUCUUUAAUCUAUCAUAUUCAACUAGUAACAUAAUCAAAUAAAUCAAUAGUUAAUGUAUAAGAAUUUAAAUCGCAUUAAUAAUCAAAAUAUUUAAAAUUAUAUUAUAAUAAGUAGAUAGAAAAAAAGGGCUCACAAAACAACAACCAAAGUAAAUAUAAUAGAAGUUUAAAGUCUCCAAAAUUACAACCCAAAAACUUCAAUUUAAAACUAAAAAGCAAAUAUAGGGAUUUUUACUAAAAUAUUAUAAAAAAAAUUACCAAAAUAUUAUACAUUUUUUAUUAUUUAUCAAAAUAAUACAAAAAAAUAAUAAAACAGAAAAAAAAAAAAAGACUGCGACUGACGUGACAGGACACUGAAGGAGGAGGUGCCAUAGGCGGCACCAAAUGUGCCUUUCCCAUAGACGGCACCACUUGUGUUAUAAACCGGGAUCCGUCCAGCUGAAGCAAAAAAAUAAGAAGAAGAAGAAGAGAAUGAGGAGGUGCUGCCGGAAAAAGAGAGAGAAAGAGAAGAGAAAAAAAAUAUUUUUUUAAAAAUAAUUGAUUAUCUUGUUGUUAUGUUUUUUUUUGUAUAAUUUUUAUUAUUUUUUGUAGUUAGUUUAGUUAUUAAGAUUAAUUAAAACUCAAAUUGAUAGUUUUAGUUAGUAUUAUUAUUAGUAGUUUUUAGGGUUUAGAUGUUACUUAGUAUUAUUGUUAAAAAACUAAUAUUAUUAUUAUGGUUAGUUAUUAUUUUAGUAAAACCCUAAUUAUUAUUGUUAGUUAGUAUUAUUUCAGUAUAAAACAAUUAUUAUUGUUAUUGUGUUAGUUAUUAGGAUUAGUGGUUAAACAUUGUUCAUGUACAAAAUGAUAACUGAAAAAGUAUGAGCUUAAGGAUGAAAAAUUGCAUAUUGAAAAAUUAAUUUUUUUUAUUUAAGUAAUUUAUUUACCGUUCGAGAUUUUUUUUGAGAUUUUGUUUAUUUUUUGACAGAUUGAAUAUUGAAGAAGGAUGAUAAGUUUUUUGUAUGCGUUUAUUUCGAUGGAGUCAUCUUGACAAAAAAUAUUGGGUGUGUAUUUGAAUGUCGGCAACAAAUAGUAAUGAGAUUUAAUAGAAAUGUCUUGUUGGAUGAAAUGAAGGCAAGGAUUAAUGCAAAAAUUCUUAGACGUUGUAGGAGAAGGAUUAAUGCAAAAGGGGUGGGCUAAGUGUCUUGGGUAUACUAUUCAUAUAAACUAGGUUAUUGUUCAAAUUUUUUGAGUAACUCAAUAUUUUAGCACUUUUUUAAAAAAAAUUUGGUACAAUUAGCACACCCUUAAAGGGGUAAAUCGCUCACACCACAAAAAGGUGAUCUCUGUGACUUGAAUCCCACGACAUAGGUUAUGGGAUGAGCUUCAUGACUUUUAACAUAUGAAUCAAAGUCAAUACAAUUUUUUCCAAUUUUUCUACUAGUAUUGAUCUAACGCGGGAUUGUAAUAGACACCGUAGAAAAACAUGGCUCACUUACUUGAAUUCCAGAAGUAGUUUGCACAUCAUAUGUGGGAGUAGGCCUCCUACUUGGAAGUUUUGGCAAUGGUGCCUCAAAAUUAAGAACCUGAAUUACCUGUCUUAUCGACGGUCUCAAAUUUUGGUCCGGAUGGACGCACCACAGCCCAACCAUCAACAAGCAUUCCAUUUGUAUAGCAUCGAAGUCCAUGCCUAAUUUCAGGUCAACUGCACCAAGUAUCUGUUGGUUUCCGUACAACUCCCACACCCAAGCUACCAGCGAAGCCUGAGAUUCUUCAUAUCUAGGCUCUAUUGACCUUCUACCACAUGCAAUCUCCAAUGCAACAACUCCAAAACUAUAGACAUCAGAUUCUUUACUAGCCUUUCCUGAUGAAACACAUUCAGGUGCAAUAUAGCCCAUGGUCCCGGCUAAAUGGGUUGUUUGUGACCCUUUCACAUGAUCGACUAGUCGAGCCAGCCCGAAAUCCCCUAUUUUAGCAUUGAAACUAGAAUCCAACAUAACGUUGCUGGCUUUGAUAUCCCUGUGUAGCACG
rnacentral:lncRNA from 1 species